UGGCAACCCAAUGUCGUGGGAGGGAACUGAACUCAGAAACCCGUGUACAGAGCAUCAGCAGAGAGCAUGAGGAAAUAAUGCUAAGCGCUUUAAAAGAAGAUUUCUGAAAGAGGACUGAAUGAAUGAAUACGGCCUUUCAAGUCAAUGGCAGGGUGAUUGCUAUGCGGUUCACACACCAGUCUUGCCAGAUGCAGACCCCCAAAGUUUGCCUGUGAUUGGCCAGCAGGGGAAAGGAGAGAGAGAGACCUGCAUCUGCACUCUACUCACGUCACCUUACUCUGCGCAGCAACACUACAAGGGCUGACGUCAAAUGCACCUCCUUCACUGAAGGCAAACGUUGGCAGUGAAUGAGAAUGAGAUGGAUGCAGGUGCCUUGGGAAUAAAAGAAGAAGGAAAGAGUCAAACCUAGAGCUGAUUUGGUAAACAGGACGCGAGAGUGGUACCAGAAUGAGUAAAUAGGUUGCAUGUACAUACUGAGAGAAGUACAAGAGAUA
ensembl:lncRNA